AUGUCCAACCCAUCUUCCUGGAUUUGCAGCCGAUUCCAGAUGAUAACCAGACCUACCUUGGUCCCCUGUUGUGAUCCUCCCAUUGAUCACCCGUCAUUCAGUCAUUCCGUGACAUCUGCUCUACAUACCAGCAGGUGCCAUCAGAUCCUGGAUGAGCCCCCAAAAUCUGUAAGACACCUGUAUCUUGCUGGCAGUAUUGGAGUUAAAAACCUAGGUAAGAGAGUUAACAAAACUGUCAAAUUUGUGAUGUGUUAAUGGCUUUAUCAAAAUAACUAUGAUGUCUUGUACAACUUUCAUGAAUAUCUUUGUAACACAGUUCAUGGUUCGGGAAGAAGGAGGCGGGAACCGGCAAACAUUUAAACAAAACUUUAAUAAUAAAAUAAACACAAAAUAGCACAACAGCCCCUCACAGACGACUGUUGCGCACAAACAGAACCAAAACACAUAAAAAAAAAAAAUCCAGGCUUGGUCCUCUCUCGUCUUGCACUGUAGUCACUACUCCUUUUACCCUUCCAGAGCUCCUCUGUGGGACUCGAGACCAGUGAGUGGCACAGAUGUCAUGCAUUAUCACUUACACCACCGGCCUCGCUCCGUUUCCAUGGCUCUCAGCCCCACCCAUCUCGUCACAAUCUCUAUUCAGCAUUCUUGAAUACCCUUAUCCUUACUUUGAUUCAGCAAUAUAAAUAAGCCAUAUUUACUGCAUAACCAAAUACUUGUUUUGGAUCUUUUGUUUUGCUUUCUCUUCUUUAUUAUUUUGAUCAAUUUUAUACUUAGUCUACUAACAUUACACUAACAUUCUGUUUCUGUAUGGUACAUGAGAAUGUUAUUAAGUAAUAUACCAUUCUUUUGAACUAAAUACUUGAGCUAGCCCAGAGUAAUACAAUAUAAACACUUAAAUGCAGUAUAGCAAAAUAUUUAACCAAUACUGUAAUCAUCCACAGAACUACAUCAUUAGCACACAAACAGUAAUACAUUUGUUCCUGUGAUCAACACCUCGUUUGUAAACUUAAAUACAAUGUCAUAAUAUAAGUAUGGGAUUUCUGUGUGCUGGAACAUGUAUUUUAUGCUUAAAGUUAACUUCAAAAACACCCGGGCCAUUAGUGGCCUUCCUGUGAAUGAUGCACCAUUUUGAUGAGAGAACACAAUCUAAAUCAAAUGUAUUAAUUUGUUCAUAAAAGUACAGUACACCAUUCAAAUGGUAGAUAAAUGUUACUAACAUGUUCUCUUGAAAUUAUAUGGCUACUGUAACAAGAUAUGUUCACCUAUUUAACAGAAAUAAUGAGAAGUUGUGCUAUUGCUUAAAAUGGGGCCGCUCUUGUAAUGGCGGUCAUUUUCUUGUGGCUUACCAUUACCCUUACAACUCUGAACCACACACCGUCUCCCCCUACUGUCCACUCAGGAUAUUUCAUGUCAUAAGUCCAGCAUUAAUGUACCAAUCAUUAACUAAAUCAACAAAGAGGAAACAGACAUGACAGUGGUGUAGCUCUACUGUCUGGAUCAUGCUGCUGGAAAAUACUGGCUGCCAGGCAGGCAGACUAAUGUCACACACUUCUGUGACUAUUUUCCUUGUCCUUAACAGGAAAAGACCUCCCUUUUCCACCACUGUAUGUUUUACUUCAGAUGCAGUGGUUUUUCUUUAAGCUUAAAAUUAUCCCUUUUAUCCCGGGUAAGAAAAGGUCAUGUUGUAUUUGAAAGCAUAUUGUUCCUCACCAGCCCAGUGGCAUUUAUUUGUUUCAUGUUUGAUAUGUCAUAUUCCUUUUGAGAUAAUGGCCUGUUUUUUUUUAAAUGUGAUUGGUCGAGUUGAGUCAUACUGUUGGGGAAAUGACAUAUUGCUCAAAAUUUCUCUAACUGAAAGACAACAAUAUGGUAUGUCAUCUGUUAUAGUAAUUUUUUUUGUUUUGUUUUGUUUUUUUAGUGCAGUCAGGAAACAUUGACACAUUUGUUCUUGUGUGCACUGAAACAGGUGUGUAAUGUUCCCUCAGCUACUUUAUAAAAUGCUUACAAUUGUAUUCCAUGGUACUUCAAUACAGAAUAUGUAAACUGACCAUAUGCUCAACAGCAAAAUAAAAGCAUAGCCUAUGGGAAUGCUAGUUGUUGAUCAGGCAUGUAGGAUGGGUAUUAUAUGUAUGAUAACAUCUGCUGGAGUGGAAAGGAUUUUGCAUUAUAGAGAUAAAAGGUAGACAAACGUUGAAGCAGGACUGCAGUGCACAAAGAAUCUAUUCAUGCACUGUUGUAGAGGUCUGGAAAAUCCCAGGUCACAUUCAGCCCUGGAGUGUGGCCUUGAGUGGCCCUCAGCACAUUCAAAGAAAUGUGUCAAAACAAACAGGCUGCCAAACUGUCAAAGUGGUCAACAAAAAUAAAUUAGACCUUUUUGGGGGGGGGGGGGGGGGUGUACAGAGAGUAAUCUCACUAAAUUAAAAUCUGGCUGCAUAAAUACUUCUAGGUAAGUUGCUAAGUUAAGUUGAAGGGAUACUCCACCCCAAAAUUAAAAUUUUGUCAUUAAUCACUUACCCCCAUGUCGUUCCAAACCCAAAAAAGCUUCAUUCAUCUUUGGAACACAAUUUAAGAUAUUUUGGAUGAAAACCGGGAGGCUUGAGACUGUCCCAUAGACUGCCGAGUAAGUAACACUGUCAAGGUCCAGGAAAGUAUGAAAAGCAUUGUCUGAACAGUCCAUCUGCCAUCAGUGAUUCAAUGGUAAUGUUAUGAAGUGACGAGAAUACUUUUUGUACACAAAGAAAACAAAAAUAACGACUUUAUUCAACAAAUCCUCUCCUCUGUGUCUCUCCAAUCCAAAUCAGUGUAGCACCAUUUUGACAAAUCUGAGCAGUACGCAGGCGGCAUACUCUCUUCUGUCUCAGCUGUGCUGUGCUGAUGCGCUGUUUUCUUUCAAACCAAAGCGUAAAUAAAAAAAAACAAAAAUCAAACAAAAUCGUAUCCUUGUGGCACAGCUGAUACAGAAGAGUGUACUGCUCAGAUUUGUCAAAAUGUCACUACGUUGAUUUGGAGAAUGAUUUGGAGAGGAAUUGUUAUUAAAUAAAGUCAUUAUUUUUGUUUUCUUCGUGUACAAAAAGUAUUCUUGUCGCGUCAUAAUGUUAUGCUCAUGUUGUGGAGUCGCUGUGUGUUUCAUUGUGAAAGCGAAACUACUUUGUUUGGCCUUCCAAAAGAGGACACGACUAGAAAUCAGUGGUUAAGUUCAACAGUCCAACCCAAAUAUUCAGAUGUGUGCUGCGCAUUUUAUGGAGGAUGAGGACUGUUUCCGGAACCAGUAGCCUGCAAUGUGUCUGUGGCACAAUGGCUGUUUCUAUAAAGUUGGGCAGUUCAUUUUGCAAGGACAGUCUGGCGCUUCUGACACAGCCUGUAAGUAAGUUUUUUUAUAUUUAAAUAAUUUGCCAAUGAUGAAGUUUUGAGCAGUAGAGUAGGCUUGCUGUUUGGUGUUUCUCAGAUCACAAAUGCAGACAUGGUUUUAUGUUUAUGCAGUGCGAUACACAACACAACACGUAAAAAGACAGUAUAAGUUAUUAUUAUAAUCAGUAAUUAUGUCCCCACUGGAUGCAACAAAUGCCUCGUUUGUAAUGUGUUUUUUUGUUUUUUUCUUGUCUUACUGUAUUUACGUUUAGCAUUAGCCGGCACUUUUAAAUUUGCCAAGAUAUUAGGCGUUCUGGCUCCCUAUAGUGGUUGGUGUCUCUAUUUUCACGUUCCGUACAAUAAAAUCACCAAUAACUAGAGCAGUUUGAUCAGGUUUUUCAGUGGGUGCGUCACUGAGUGGGGAGAACCUGUUCAAUGUUUUGAUCGGAACGGAAGAUCGGUGUUUUGACCCACAACUAUGCCCCCUCACAGUCACCCAGUUGCCCUGCUGCAGAGGCGCUGUUACCGGAACUGAACAAUGUACAGGACUCCCUGAGCCAGUCACAUCCAAAGCAGUAUCUAGAGCCCUCACAUUCUUACUGUCCUCAAUUAAAGUUUGGAUGUGUGUCUCUAAUUCUGAAAUCUUCUCUGUCAGCCUAAAUAUUUCCCUGCAUUUAUCACAUGUGAAUCCCUCGUAGCAGACAGAGAGAGAUAAACUAUACAUGUGGCAAGCGGUGCAAACAACAAUAGCAGGAGUAGCCAUUACUCACCGUGAUUGAUGAAUGGUUCUUACCACAGUUGUUUGAUGAACUUGUGAAAAAACGGAGCGAGAGAGAAAAGAAACAGAGCAAGAGAGAAAAAAAUGCUAAUGGAAAUGCUAAUGACAAGCUAACCGGCUAACGAAUGCUAAUGCCCUGCAGGUGCGCUGCACUCGCAUAUUUAGAAUAAAAGAGCUGAUGAUACUCAGCUCUAUAUUUCUUCGCGGCCUGGCGAAACAUACCAAUUUGAAAAACUAACGGAAUGCA
ensembl:lncRNA